rnacentral:rRNA from 1 species
AUUGAACGCUGGCGGCAUGCUUUACACAUGCAAGUCGAACGGCAGCGCUGGGCAACCUGGCGGCGAGUGGCGAACGGGUGAGUAAUACAUCGGAACGUACCCAGAAGUGGGGGAUAACGUAGCGAAAGUUACGCUAAUACCGCAUACGUUCUACGGAAGAAAGUGGGGGACCUUCGGGCCUCAUGCUUUUGGAGCGGCCGAUGUCUGAUUAGCUAGUUGGUGAGGUAAAGGCUCACCAAGGCGACGAUCAGUAGCUGGUCUGAGAGGACGACCAGCCACACUGGGACUGAGACACGGCCCAGACUCCUACGGGAGGCAGCAGUGGGGAAUUUUGGACAAUGGGCGCAAGCCUGAUCCAGCAAUGCCGCGUGAGUGAAGAAGGCCUUCGGGUUGUAAAGCUCUUUUGUCAGGGAAGAAACGGCUGAGGAUAAUACCUUCGGCUAAUGACGGUACCUGAAGAAUAAGCACCGGCUAACUACGUG